ACCUAUUUAGCUCAGUUGAUUAAUUAGAGAGUCGUGCUAAUAACGCGAAGGUCGCAGGUUCGAAACCUGCGUAGGCC
rnacentral:tRNA from 1 species